UCACUACUAAGUAUAUAUAUAUCUAUGCUGUUACCGGAAAACUGACGGAGGCCAAGCACAGAGAGAUGGACACAGGUUUCUUCAGGAAGGAAGAGAUCUUUAUUCGAUUCACCGACCGGGACUCAGAGGGACUUUUAUGUCACCAAAAACAGCAAAGAUCUGAGCACUGAAUACAUAGAGUACAUUCCUUAUAUAGCACUGUAGCUCCUCCCAUAAUUAGCUACGCCCACACAUACCCUUAACCUAAUCAAUGAAUAGAGUCUAAACUCAUCCAUGCGGUCUAACCACGUGGCUCAUCUGAAACAAAGGAGAGGGACGCGUAAUUCCAGUUCCUGCAUUCCUGCACAUGCUCAGUACAGUGAUGACAGUAUCUUAGCUACGUGUAACUAACUAACUGAUACUACAAACACAUGUACCUACAUAUGCCUUGUGGCAAGCUUGGCCUGCUAAACUUGUAUUUUACUGGAAUUCCAUCACAAUGCCACUAACAUAAAUGAAGGGUUUUUUUCUGGGACAUUUACAGAAAUUCAGGUUGUUGUUUUUUUGUUUU